GAAAAGCCAAAAGGAAAAGGAGAGGACUAAAGAAAAUCCUCUCUGCAACCAUUUUAUUAUUUCAUUUCUAAUUUUUAUUUUAAUUUCUGUUCCACGACAGUUGACCUAAUUUCAAUUCUCAUACAGAAGAGGGGAGUUCUACAGUGCGGCACCUAAUAUAAGGCUAAAAUAAGGCAUCGAGGAGAAAUCAGGGGAGAUAAUCAAAAUGGGAAAUUCAUUUGGGUGCUCGGCUUCAGGUGAGAGAUUAGUGUCGGCGGCGAGAGAUGGGGAUUUGGAGGAAGCUAAGAUGCUUUUGAGUUGCAAUCCAUGUCUUGCUAAAUAUUCCACUUUCGGUGGCCUUAAUUCUCCUCUCCAUUUCGCUGCUGCCAAAGGCCACAAUGAGAUUGUUGCUUUAUUGCUUGAGAAUGGAGCUGAUGUGAAUUCCAGGAAUUACUGUGGCCAGACUGCAUUGAUGCAAGCGUGUCGAUAUGGGCGCUGGGAAGUUGUACAGAACCUUCUGCUUUUCAGAUGCAAUGUCACGAGAGCAGAUUAUCUAAGUGGGAGAACAGCUCUACAUUUUGCUGCCGUAAAUGGACAUGUGAGAUGCAUAAGACUGGUUGUUGCCGAUUUUGUUCCUAGUGCUCCUUUUGAAGCUAUAAACAACCAAAUAGAAGGUGAAAGAGGGGAUGGUUCUGGUGUGAGGAGCAAAAACGAUCAAAGUGCACUGUCGAAGUUUGUAGAUAAGGCAGCUGAUGGUGGGAUUACCGCUCUUCAUAUGGCUGCAUUAAAUGGGUAUUUUGAUUGCGUACAACUAUUAUUAGACCUUCAAGCCAAUGUCUCUGCCGUCACAUUUCACUUUGGAACAUCAGUGGAUUUGAUAGGAGCUGGAAGCACUCCUUUGCAUUAUGCUGCUUGUGGGGGAAACUUGAAGUGUUGCCAGAUCCUUCUAGCAAGAGGAGCCAGUAGAAUGACUUUGAAUUGCAACGGGUGGCUGCCACUUGAUGUUGCCAGGAUGUGGGGUCGUCAUUGGCUUGAGCCCUUGUUGGCUCCUAAUUCGGACGCAACCAUACCUAGAUUUCCUUCUUCCAACUACUUGUCCUUGCCCCUUUUGAGUGCACUUAACAUAGCAAGAGAAUGCGGGUUGCAGUCCUCAACAACCUCUUCAGAUGAUUCCGACACUUGUGCCGUCUGCCUUGAGAGAGCGUGUAAUGUUGCUGCUGAAGGAUGUGGGCACGAGCUAUGCGUAACGUGUGCACUUUAUCUAUGCUCAACAAGCCAAAUUCCUUCCAAUAUGGUUGCUCCAACUGGGUCUAUUCCAUGCCCUCUCUGUAGACAUGCCGUUCUCUCCUUUGUGAAAUUGCCGAGUUCACCAGUGAAAGAAAUUAAGCUACAGCUCUCUUUUGGUCUCUGUACGCCAUGCAUGCUUCAUCCCCGUGAUGCUGAUUUCCCGUCACCGACUUCAGAGAUCAGAAAGGCUCGUGUUUCAUCAGUUUCUUCUGAUAUUUUCUGCCCGGUUACCUGUAGUCCAUUUCCUUCCGUCGCCAUCUCUUUAUGUACCUGCAAUGACAGUCCUUGCCCCUCUUUCGAACAUCGAGACACAACGGAAGCACAAGAAGAAUCUCCGAGACGUUCACAAGCUAUGUCAAUGGAGCAGGAGAAAAUCGAAGGACCGAGACUGGAGAGAACAACAUGUUCAAGCAUGUUUUGGGGCAGAAGGAGCUGCAGUAGAGAGCAUCAAUGUAAUUCAGAAAUAAAUGCUUGAUUGUGGUUUGAUCUUGUAUUUGUGUCCUCAAUCGGAGAUGGAUUUACAAUGGGGGUUUUGCAUUGUAUUAUGUAAUUAUUGCAAGUCUGAAAAGUUUAAUUUUUGUUU